rnacentral:rRNA from 1 species
UACGGAGGGGGCUAGCGUUGUUCGGAAUUACUGGGCGUAAGCGCACGUAGGCGGCUUUGCAAGUUUAGAGGUGAAAGCCCGGGGCUCAACUCCGGAAUUGCCUUUAAAACUGCAUCGCUAGAGUUGUGGAGAGGUAAGUGGAAUUCCGAGUGUAGAGGUGAAAUUCGUAGAUAUUCGGAAGAACACCAGUGGCGAAGGCGACUUACUGGACACAUACUGACGCUGAGGUGCGAAAAGCGUGGGGGAGCAAACAGGAUUAGAAAACCCCCUG